GAUAUCUGUACUUUACAUGCAGUGCUACUCUUUCGACAUUCCUGGUUGAACUACUUAAAAGUUCAGUAGCCAUGCAAGAACAGGUGCUGGGUGGAAAAGGCUUUUUAGUUAUUGGCUAAUUACUUGAAAAGUCAUCAAGAGUUCAUGUAACUAGACCUGUCUUGGAGCAAUUUUUAUCUUUUGCAAAAUACCUUGGUGGUUUAUCUCAUGGAGCACCUUUGCUGAAGCAGCUUUGUGAUCAUAUUUUGUUUAUUAACCCAGCCAUCUGGAUACAUACACCUGCAAAGGUUCAACUUUCCCUAUAUACAUAUUUGUCUGCUGAAUUUAUUGGAACUGCUACCAUCUACACCACCAUACGCAGAAUAGGAACAGUAUUAAAGAUAAUGCACACCUUAAAAUAUUACUACUGGGUUAUUAAUCCUGCUGACAGUAGUGGCAUUACACCUAAAGGAUUAGGUAUGUAUAACACUUCC